CAAAAAAUCGAUUAUCCUUCGUUGCUUACUCUUCCAAGGACUAAUUUAUUUUUCAAUCUGACGAGAACAUAAGCGGUGAUGAUUCCAACGAUGUAUGGACCGAUUCUCGUCCAGGGAACUGAAGCCUGUGAGAGCAGUCGAGCCGACUAGUAUGAACAGAAGAAUCGACACUGCCGUGUAAAAGUACCUGGAAAUCAGUGAAUUUGUGAAUGAGUUAAUAUCUUAUUCGAAACUAUUAUGUUUCGACUAUGUUGAGAAAAAAAAUCGAUUUUUUUUCUACAAACGCCCAAAAUAUAAAUAUUCUUGAAACCAAUUGACUCACAUGGACGACAGUAUAACGAGGAAUGUUCCAAUCAUGAAAAACUGCAUGUCAUUAGAGAGAUACCAGCUCCAGGACAAACACUGCAAAUCAGAAUCAGCCAAUUAAAUUGAUUUUGAACUGGA